UUUAAACGAGUCUGGGAAGUCUUCUAUUUUAGUUUCCCGCUAAAAAUAUUUUAAUUUUCCGCUAAAAAUAUUAAAGUCUUCUGGACGACUUACAAGUAAGUCGUCUGAAUCAAAAAUAUUUAACAUCAUUGGAUUUUUUUGUCUCCUUUAUAAAGAAAAAAUUACACUUUCUCUCUCCUCCUCUCAAAUGGCUGCAACAAAAAAGUAAUGUUCAUCAUUCUAAAAUUCUUCAACCUCUCU
rnacentral:lncRNA from 1 species